rnacentral:rRNA from 1 species
UGGGGAAUAUUGCGCAAUGGGCGAAAGCCUGACGCAGCAACGCCGUGUGAGGGAUGAAGGCUUUAGGGUCGUAAACCUCUGUCGGAAGGGAAGAACGGGCAUUGGUCUAAUAGGCCUUCGUUUUGACGGUACCUUUAGAGGAAGCACCGGCUAACUCCGUGGCAGCAGCCGCGGUAAUACGGAGGGUGCAAGCGUUAUUCGGAUUUACUGGGCGUAAAGCGCACGUAGGCGGCUUUGUAAGUCAGGGGUGAAAGCCCACGGCUCAACCGUGGAACUGCCUUUGAAACUGCAGAGCUUGAAUCCUGGAGAGGGUGGCGGAAUUCCUGGUGUAGGAGUGAAAUCCGUAGAUAUCAGGAGGAACACCGGUGGCGAAGGCGGCCACCUGGACAGGUAUUGACGCUGAGGUGCGAAAGUGUGGGGAGCAAACA